GAGGGUAUAGCUCAGUGGUAGAGUGUGUGCUUAGCAUGCGUGAGGUCCUGGGUUCAGUCCCCAGUACCUCCA
rnacentral:tRNA from 1 species